rnacentral:rRNA from 1 species
GUGAGUAACACGUGGGCAAUCUGCCCUUCACUCUGGGACAAGCCCUGGAAACGGGGUCUAAUACCGGAUAAUACUCUGUUCCGCAUGGAACGGGGUUGAAAGCUCCGGCGGUGAAGGAUGAGCCCGCGGCCUAUCAGCUUGUUGGUGGGGUAAUGGCCUACCAAGGCGACGACGGGUAGCCGGCCUGAGAGGGCGACCGGCCACACUGGGACUGAGACACGGCCCAGACUCCUACGGGAGGCAGCAGUGGGGAAUAUUGCACAAUGGGCGAAAGCCUGAUGCAGCGACGCCGCGUGAGGGAUGACGGCCUUCGGGUUGUAAACCUCUUUCAGCAGGGAAGAAGCGCAAGUGACGGUACCUGCAGAAGAAGCGCCGGCUAACUACGUGCCAGCAGCCGCGGUAAUACGUAGGGCGCAAGCGUUGUCCGGAAUUAUUGGGCGUAAAGAGCUCGUAGGCGGCUUGUCACGUCGGAUGUGAAAGCCCGGGGCU